GACGGAGGAUGCAAGUGUUAUCCGGAAUCACUGGGCGUAAAGCGUCUGUAGGUGGUUUAAAAAGUCCACUGUUAAAAAUUGAAGCUUAACUUCAAAGAUGCCGUGGAAACUUUUAAACUUGAGUAUGGUAGGGGUAGAGGGAAUUUCCAGUGGAGCGGUGAAUGCGUAGAUAUUGGAAAGACCACCAAUGGCGAAGGCACUCUACUGGGCCAUUACUGACACUGAGAGACGAAAGCUAGGGGAGCGAAUGGG
rnacentral:rRNA from 1 species